AUACAGAGAGCAGCACUAUACAGGGAGCACUGACUGUCCCAAUUUAUUAUACACACAGACCUGUGUUAGAGCUCCCUGUAUAGUGCUGCUCUCUCUAU
rnacentral:miRNA from 1 species